AGGGCGAAGAUUAUUUGCUAUUUACCAAUUGUUCCAACUGAAUGUUCCGGGUUGACAACAGCAUUUUCGUUAAGUUUCAGCCUUGUAUGAGCCCU
rnacentral:snoRNA from 1 species